ACGAAAGUCUGACGCAGCGACGCCGCGUGGAGGAUGAAGGUUUUCGGAUCGUAAACUCCUGUCAAGAGGGAAGAAACCUAUCAUGAAUAAUACUUAUGGUAAUUGACGGUACCUCUAGAGGAAGCACCGGCUAAUUCAGUGCCAGCAGCCGCGGUAAUACUGAAGGUGCAAGCGUUAAUCGGAAUCACUGGGCGUAAAGCGCUCGUAGGUGGCUUUGUAAGUCAGGUGUGAAAGCCCACGGCUCAACCGUGGAAUUGCACUUGAUACUGCAUCGCUAGAGUAUAGGAGAGGGAAGUGGAAUUUCUGGUGUAGGAGUGAAAUCCGUAGAGAUCAGAAGGAACACCCGUGGCGAAGGCGACUUCCUGGACUAUUACUGACACUGAGGAGCGAAAGCGUGGGGAGCAAACAGGAUUAGAUACCCUGGUAG
rnacentral:rRNA from 1 species